ACGUUCAGUGUGGACAUCAAAGCUCCACCUAUGAAGUUCUCAGCUCUUCCUGAAGACAUGAAGAUCAAGUUGAUCGAAGCUGGCUGCCCUGUAGUACUCCAGUGUGAGGUCUUGAACCCUGAAGUCCAGGUUUGCUGGUACAAGGAUGAAAUGCAGCUCAUUCCAAACUCUGAAUUAGAAAUCCACGCAGUGGGCAACACAAGGACAGUAGUUGUUCAGUCUGCAGAGCUGUGCCACUCUGGCUUGUACAGAUGCACCACACAGGACGACUCUGUGGAAUUUCAAGUGGAGAUCAAAGCUCUACCUGUGACAUAUUCUACUAUAUUUGAUGCUG